ACUCAAAUGAAUUGACGGGGGCCCGCACAAGUGGUGGAGCAUGUGGUUUAAUUCGAUGAUACGCGAGGAACCUUACCUAGGCUAGAAUGCGCGUGACCGGCUCAGAGAUGAGCUUUUCCUUCGGGACACAAAGCAAGGUGCUGCAUGGCCGUCGUCAGCUCGUGCCGUGAGGUGUUGGGUUAAGUCCCGCAACGAGCGCAACCCCUAUGUUUAGUUGCCAGCAUGUAAUGAUGGGGACUCUAGACAGACUGCCUGCGCAAGCAGUGAGGAAGGCGGGGACGACGUCAGGUCAUCAUGGCCCUUACGCCUAGGGCGACACACGUGCUACAAUGGACGGUACAGCGGGUAGCUACUGGGCGACCAGAUGCCAAUCUCGAAAAGCCGUUCUCAGUUCGGAUCGGAGUCUGCAACUCGACUCCGUGAAGCUGGAAUCACUAGUAAUCGCGCAUCAGCCAUGGCGCGGUGAAUACGUUCCCGGGCCUUGUACACACCGCCCGU
rnacentral:rRNA from 1 species